rnacentral:lncRNA from 1 species
AAGAUUUAGUUGAACAAGGGAGUUUUGAGAUUUACAAGAUCAUUUACAGAGUUUCUGGAUGAUAGGAAUACCCAAAUACAAAGGUUGAGAUGUAGCUAAGGAAGAGAUGAAAUAACAGGUAAAAAUUUAUAAUUGCUGGUGUUCAAGGACAUGGUUUAGUAGAAUCAAGGAAAGUCUUUUGUCGUUAAGUCCAUGUCAAAAUGUCUGAGUUUAACAAAAAAAUAGGUAUUGCGCCUAUAGCAAUUCCAAAGAUGUUUUAAUCAAUUUAGUGCCGCCAUUUAGGUCAAAGUGUGUUCAUGUUUAUGCAAUAAGAGGCAAGCUAGUAGGAUCAAGGAAAGUCUUUCGUUGUUAAGUCCAUGUCAAAAUGUCUGAGUUUAAC